GACGAACGCUGGCGGCGUGCUUAACACAUGCAAGUCGAACGGAAAGGCCCCUUUGGGGGUACUCGAGUGGCGAACGGGUGAGUAACACGUGAGUAACCUGCCCUUGACUUCGGGAUAACUUCAGGAAACUGGGGCUAAUACCGGAUAGGAAUCCUUGCUGCAUGGUGGGGGUUGGAAAGCUUCGGCGGUUUUGGAUGGACUCGCGGCUUAUCAGCUUGUUGGUGGGGUAGUGGCCUACCAAGGCUUUGACGGGUAGCCGGCCUGAGAGGGCGACCGGCCACAUUGGGACUGAGAUACGGCCCAGACUCCUACGGGAGGCAGCAGUGGGGAAUAUUGCACAAUGGGCGGAAGCCUGAUGCAGCAACGCCGCGUGCGGGAUGACGGCCUUCGGGUUGUAAACCGCUUUCAGCAGGGGCGAAGCUUGUGGUGACGGUACCUGCAGAAGAAGCACCGGCUAACUACGUG
rnacentral:rRNA from 1 species